rnacentral:misc_RNA from 1 species
GUGGGAGGGGGCCUGCUCCCGAUGGCAGAGUGUCAGCCAGCACCUGUAUUCACAGGCCCCAUCGGGAGCAAGCCCCCUCCCAC